rnacentral:ncRNA from 1 species
CCGUCCUAGUCUCAACCAUAAACGAUGCCGACCAGGGAUCGGCGGAUGUUGCUUAUAGGACUCCGCCGGCACCUUAUGAGAAAUCAAAGUCUUUGGGUUCCGGGGGGAGUAUGGUCGACAGGCUGAAACUUAAAGGAAUUGACGGAAGGGCACCACCAGGCGUGGAGCCUGCGGCUUAAUUUGACUCAACACGGGGAAACUUACCAGGUCCAGACAUAGCAAGGAUUGACAGACUGAGAGCUCUUUCUUGAUUCUAUGGGUGGUGG